ensembl:lncRNA CD99P1 CD99 molecule pseudogene 1
GUGGGGGAGGUUCCGUCCCGCCGCCUUCGCCCGCGCGCUGCACUCGCGGACGAUCUCUGCUCGCCUUGGGCGCGCCGUGGCGCGCGGGGCCGUGCUGGCGCUGCGGCUCCUCGGCCUGCUCCGCCGUCUGGUGGCCGCCCCGGGCUGACUUUGACUUAGCGAUGCCUUUCCUGAUGGAGGAAACAGUGACCCAGCACCACCUAAUGCCCCCAAACCAAAGCCAGAUCCAAACCCCAACCGACCUGGUUUCACUGGUGACCCAGCACCACCUAAUCCCCCCAAACCAAAGCCAGAUCCAAAUCCCAACUGACCUGGUUUCACUGAUAAGAGCCUCUAACCCUACGGGGUGGUCUCUAUGUUGUUUACCUGGCAGUGAUGUCCGUGUCAUCUGAGAAGAGGAGAUUUCAGGGGCUGACUUUGACUUAGCAGAUGCCUUUCGUGAUGGAGGAAAUAACGACCCAGCACCUCUUAAUUCACCCAAGCUGAAGCCAAAUGCGAACCCUGAGCAGCCUGGAUUCAUUGGGGAUGACUUUGACUUAGCAGAUGCCUUACAUGACAAAGGAAACUGUGAGUAACUCCUUAAACUCUCCACUGUGGCUGACUUGCUUAUUAUCACCAAAUUAUUAUUGUUUCCAAAAAACGUAUCUCUUGUGAAUGAUAAAUGAAACCUGUUUGCACAGUGGAAAGUUAGGGAGUAGGUGUGUUGUUGUUUGUUUUGGAUAUUGUUGGACUUUGUUUUUGUUUUUACCAGUAUGCAUAGUUUUAUUUUAAAACUCUCACAGUCUUUGGAAUGAUGUAAGGCAAAUCUGACUCCCCUGGCCAAGUUAGGCUUCAUGAGUGUGUGACUUGUUCGAUCACCCAGGGACCCAUGCUUACAAGGGUGCCAUAUUGGUUUAUGAGUCUUUAGUUGUCAUCUUGAAAUUCUUAAUAUUCAGUUGAGCAAGGAUUUCUGCAUUUUCAUUUUACACAGUACCUUGCCAAUUCUGUAGCUGAUCUGAAAAGCUGCCUGAUAGGUUUUAUUGAAAAUGCUUUAUCAGUACUGUAGCUGGAAGAUGUUGGAAGGAUAUUGGCAGGAGGCUGUGUGUAUGGGUAUCCCCACCAUGACAAAGAACAAGGUCCAAUUUUUAUAUGUUUAGUGAACGUCUGCAUGCAAAUUGAUGUUUCAUUUUCUUCACUUCAAGGCACUCAUAAUCUCAACUCUCAUCUUUUACAAACAGACGAGCCAGCACCACUGAACCCACCCAAACCAAAGCCAAAUCCAAACCCCAAGCAGCCUGAUUCCACCGGGGAUGACUUUGAUUUCACAGAUGUUUCUUCAUGGUGAACGAAACAGGGAGUUGCCUCGAUUCUGAUGUGUUUGCUUCGGUGCUCUGUGUAUUGUAUUCAUCCCACUCUUCAAUUCAUAAACUCUGGAGAUUCUUCAAUUCACUGGGCAAACCAUAUGCCUAAGUCUAUCCUCUGAUGGAGGCUCGUACAUGCAAAAUCCAAUAGCAACCUGGGAAGAUUUCAGUCAAGACCCAAGAGGAGGCUGGCAUCAGGCUCUCGGUCACCGAUCUUCACAUUCAGGUUUCCUGAUGCACUUUGCGACUCUUUGGGCAACCUCUGGACUCCUUGUUCCCAGGGUCCACAUUUAGUUUUAUCUUUACUGCAUUGCUUUUAUGAAAAAGAAUAAAAUUGGAUGAAACAGA